ensembl:lncRNA
AAAGAAAACAGUGGAACUGUCGGAAGACAUCAACUUUUUAUUGACUGUGAACAGCAGUGAAGCCACCAGAUCAGCACUGUUCUCCACAUCAUCAUGGGAGUCAUGACUGUGUCUGUUUUCUGCAUCCUCCUCACCUUCCUGGUGACUGAGAGUUUUGCAGUUCCAGGCCGGAAGGAGUGUAAUUAUGGGUUUUCUCGACCAAACCCCUCCUGGAAGUCAUGCUACCUUUUGGACCAAAAGUUAAGAUCAUGGUCUGAUGCAAAGGAGCUAUGCCUUCAAAAAGGUGGAACCCUAGCUUCUAUCAAAAACAAUGAACAGUUACAAUAUGCAUAUGAGAUGAUUCCAGACGGAUAUUUCUGGGUUGACGGGAACUAUGUGUCUGGAUUUCCCCAGAAUAACUGGUUGCCGGGUUCAAAGCCAGGUGGGACAAAUGCCGACUGCUUGACAUUGGUGAAAUUCCCUGCGGGAAGAGGCUUUAGUGAUAUUGCCUGUUCCGAAAAAAUUGACUCUGCCUACGCUCUCUGUGAGUCCUAUGCUACCUACUGAAGUGUCCACUCAGAGAAUACAAAGGGAUGUUCUUUUUGUACUAUUGCACACACUAUUUAGACUUUACUUUAAGUGAAAGACACAGAGAAAAUUAUAAGGUAUAUUAUGGCUACCUAGAGCAUACCUACAUUUAUUCAGGUGUGACCUUUUAUUAAAUAGUUUCUUAUUUUGUAAUGGAAUUGUAAUAGUGUUAUGGAAGCUUUUUAAAGGCCCUGUGAAGUCUAAUGUUCUUUGUUUUUUUUGUUUUUUGUAAUAUUUCUACACUAUGAAGUGGAAACAACACACUGAAAUUGUGACCAUAAUUAUUAUUCCCUUUUUUUGUAAGAGCUGUAUAGAAUGUCAAGGAUUUAUUAGCCGUAUAGUGAAUAAAAAAUAUUACAAAAAACAUGUUUUCUUUAGA